GAUGAACGCUGGCGGCGUGCCUAAUACAUGCAAGUCGAGCGAACAGACGAGGAGCUUGCUCCUCUGACGUUAGCGGCGGACGGGUGAGUAACACGUGGAUAACCUACCUAUAAGACUGGGAUAACUUCGGGAAACCGGAGCUAAUACCGGAUAAUAUAUUGAGCCGCAUGGUUCAAUAGUGAAAGACGGUUUUGCUGUCACUUAUAGAUGGAUCCGCGCCGCAUUAGCUAGUUGGUAAGGUAACGGCUUACCAAGGCAACGAUGCGUAGCCGACCUGAGAGGGGGAUAGGCCACACUGGAACGGAGACACGGUCCAGACGCCUACGGGAGGCAGCAGUAGGGAAUCUUCCGCAAUGGGCGAAAGCCUGACGGAGCAACGCCGCGUGAGUGAUGAAGGUCUUCGGAGCGUAAAACUCUGUUAUUAGGGAAGAACAAAUGUGUAAGUAACUAUGCACGUCUUGACGGUACCUAAUCAGAAAGCCACGGCUAACUACGUG
rnacentral:rRNA from 1 species